UAGGCCUAACACAUGCAAGUCGUACGAGAGUUUUUAACUCUAGUGGCGGACGGGUGAGCAACACGUGAGAAUUUGCCUUUAGGAGGGGGACAACAAUUGGAAACGAAUGCUAAUACCCCAUAUGCUUUCGAGUGAAAUGGAUUUUAUCCGCCUAGAGAGAAGCUCGCGGCUGAUUAGCUUGUUGGUAAGGUAAGAGCUUACCAAGGCGACGAUCAGUAUCUGGUUUGAGAGGACGAUCAGACACACUGGAACUGAGACACGGUCCAGACUCCUACGGGAGGCAGCAGUGGGGAAUUUU
rnacentral:rRNA from 1 species